rfam:Megaselia scalaris, Durham, NC isolate 2 -- Noor lab, WGS project CAQQ02000000 data, contig: ctg0000150639
AAAACGGUCCUUUUCAGGACCACAAAUUUCAUUUAGAAAAGGGUUU